rnacentral:rRNA from 1 species
AGUGAGCGCUGGCGGUAGGCCUAACACAUGCAAGUCGAACGGCAGCACAGUAAGAGCUUGCUCUUACGGGUGGCGAGUGGCGGACGGGUGAGGAAUACAUCGGAAUCUACUUUUUCGUGGGGGAUAACGUAGGGAAACUUACGCUAAUACCGCAUACGACCUACGGGUGAAAGCAGGGGAUCUUCGGACCUUGCGCGAUUGAAUGAGCCGAUGUCGGAUUAGCUAGUUGGCGGGGUAAAGGCCCACCAAGGCGACGACCCGUAGCUGGUCUGAGAGGAUGAUCAGCCACACUGGAACUGAGACACGGUCCAGACUCCUACGGGAGGCAGCAGUGGGGAAUAUUGGACAAUGGGCGCAAGCCUGAUCCAGCCAUACCGCGUGGGUGAAGAAGGCCUUCGGGUUGUAAAGCCCUUUUGUUGGGAAAGAAAAGCAGCAGGUUAAUACCCCGCUGUUCUGACGGUACCCAAAGAAUAAGCACCGGCUAACUUCGUG